rnacentral:rRNA from 1 species
AUACGUGGCACACGGCUCAGUAACACGUGGUCAACAUACCCAGAGGACGUGGAUAACCUCGGGAAACUGAGGAUAAACCGCGAUAGACCAUAAUGUCUGGAAUGAUUUAUGGUUCAAAUCUAUAUGGCCUCUGGAUUGGACUGCGGCCGAUCAGGCUGUUGGUGAGGUAAUGGCCCACCAAACCUGAAACCGGUACGGGCUCUGAGAGGAGAAGCCCGGAGAUGGGCACUGAGACAAGGGCCCAGGCCCUAUGGGGCGCAGCAGGCGCGAAACCUUUGCAAUAGGCGAAAGCCUGACAAGGUUACUCUGAGUGAUCUCCGCUAAGGAAAUCUUUGACACCUCUAAAAAUGGUGUAGAAUAAGGGGUGGGCAAGCCUGGUGUCAGCCGCCGCGGUAAUACCAGCACCCCGAGUGGUCGGGACGAUUAUUGGGCCUAAAGCAUCCGUAGCCGGUUCUUUAAGUCCUCCGUUAAAUCCACCUGCCUAACAGAUGGGCUGCGGAGGAUACUAUAGAGCUAGGAGGCGGGAGAGGCAAGCGGUACUCAGU